rnacentral:miRNA from 1 species
CUGGAAGGCCUGGCUUUGCAGCGUGUUCUGGACUCUGCAGACCCGGCCUUGGCAAGCUCUUCCGCUGACGUCCCCGCGGCCGGAGCCCCAGCGCCC